rnacentral:misc_RNA from 1 species
AAAGUCGUAACAAGGUCUCCGUAGGUGAACCUGCGGAGGGAUCAUUAACACGUUUCCAAAAACGUUUUCUAACCAAAUCAACGUGAACCUAAAACAACUCCCUUAUCAGUGUGACGAACGAAUAAUCAUCAGGGUGGAGUGCAACGAAAGUUGUGUUAUGACUCGUUCUAGGGGCCCUUCGAGGCUUCAAUCCGCUGAUAAGUGUCUUUGCGACCACCUGGCAGUCUACAUUCGUGUAGCGUUCUGCCGAAUUUUUUCACAACAAUUUUUAACCCCUUUCACAACAUACUAAUAACUGAACCAUUUUUUUUCUAAUACAUCCCUUGUGAUGUAUUGAAAAAAAGAUAUACGUAAUGCUGAACAACUCUUAGCAAUGGAUAUCUUGGUUCUC